CAGCCCCAGAUGGUGACACAGGUGGGACUGGGUGCUGCCAUUGCUGAGGUGAGGGAGCAGCAGGUGGCUGGAGCAGGAGGUGAUUCUGCAGGAUAGUGAGAGCUGCUCUUGCAGUUUGGUAAUUCCUGUGUGGUCUUGUUGGGUUAUCACAGAAUCAUGGAAGGGUUUGGGCUGAAAGGGAAAAUAGAGACCCUCUCCUUCCAGCCCCUGCCAUGGACAGGGACACCUUCCACUAUCCCAGGUUGCUCCAAGCCCCAUCCAGCCUGGCCUUGAAUACAUCCACAGCUUCUCUGGGCACCCUGUGCCAGGGCCUCCCCAGUCUCCCUAAUACCCCAUCCAACCUUUGUCUGUGCCUGUUGAAACCAUUCCUCCUUAUCCUGGCACUCCAUGCUCUUGUAAAAACUCCCUCUCCAGCUUUCCUGUGGGUUAUAGAAAGCAGCUGUGCCUAAUGGAUGGUGAACAUGAAUAAAAUCUGUUUUUCAAAGCUGA